AUUGAACGCUGGCGGCAUGCCUUACACAUGCAAGUCGAACGGCAGCACGGGUGCUUGCACCUGGUGGCGAGUGGCGAACGGGUGAGUAAUGCAUCGGAACGUGCCAUUGAGUGGGGGAUAACGUAGCGAAAGUUACGCUAAUACCGCAUAUUCUCUUCGGAGGAAAGCAGGGGAUCGCAAGACCUUGUGCUCUUUGAGCGGCCGAUGUCGGAUUAGCUAGUUGGUGGGGUAAAGGCCUACCAAGGCGACGAUCCGUAGAGGGUCUGAGAGGAUGAUGCGCCACACAGGGAGUGAGACCCGGCCCAGUCUGCUAGGGGGGGCGACAGUGGGGAAUUUUGGACAAUGGUGGCAACCCUGAUGCAGCCAAGCCGCGUGGGAGAAGGAGGCCUGCGAGUUGGAAGGCUCUUUCGGCCGGGAAGAAAUCGUGGUGGUUAAUACCUGCCAUGGAUGACGGUACCGGAAUAAGAAGCACCGGCUAACUACGUGCCAGCCGCUGCCGUAACAC
rnacentral:rRNA from 1 species